UGCAUCCAUAUCCCAUUGAAACACCAGUUCCCAGAUGAUCACUGAAGUUAAGCAACAUCAAGCCUGGUUGGUAUCUAAAUGGGUGACUGCUUGUGAAUACUAGGUGCUGUAA